CUCAAGGCGUUACUUUUCUCGUAACGCAAGCCAGAUGGAAAGUUCAGCGGGGAACAAUGUAUAACAUCGCAUUCAUUGUUUUCUUCCAAAAUACGAUGCUUGAGAAAUGUAUCACCA